rnacentral:SRP_RNA from 1 species
UAACAUAUGUAAUCCCUGCUAUUGCAGGAUUGUAAGACUGGUAAUCACUUGGCAGAGCUCAGGAGUUCUGAGCUGCUGUAGGCUAAAACCGAUCAGUUGUCUUCACUAAUUUAAGCAUCAAUGUAGUGGGGCCUAAGGAGUGGGGGACCACUACCUUGCCUAAGGAAAGGUGAUCUGGACCAGGUCAGAAUCAGAGCAGGUCAAAACUUCCAUGCCUGAUAAGCAGUGGGGUCACGCUCAUAACUGGCCACCAUGCUUUUAGCUUGGUUGAGAUAAGGAGCCCCAGUCUCAU